rnacentral:rRNA from 1 species
UUACCUACGGGGGGCAGCAGUGGGGGAUAUUGCACAAUGGGGGGAACCCUGAUGCAGCGACGCCGCGUGGGUGAAGAAGCGCCUCGGCGCGUAAAGCCCUGUCAGCAGGGAAGAAAAUGACGGUACCUGAAGAAGAAGCCCCGGCUAACUACGUGCCAGCAGCCGCGGUAAUACGGAGGAUGCGAGCGUUAUCCGGAUUUAUUGGGUUUAAAGGGUGCGCAGGCGGCACGGCAAGCCGGCGGUCAAAUCGCGGGGCUCAACCCCGCCCAGCCGUCGGAACUGCCGGGCUAGAGUGGGCGAGAAGG